rnacentral:tRNA from 1 species
GUCUAUGUAGUAUAUCAAUUACACUGGUCUUGUAAACCAGAAAAGAGGAAGAAAAUUCCUCCAAAGACU